rnacentral:lncRNA from 1 species
CUUUGGGAGAAAUAAGUGCAUUGUGUAACAGUAAAUCUACACCAAGCUCUGAAGUAGAAAAUAAAAUUAUUUAGAUUUCUGUUUUAGAAGAAAUGCUUCUUUGGGCAUGCACCAGAACCCACCGGAGAAUCUAGUUGUGCCUCUGCUUGAUCAGCAGCCCAGAGAGAGUACGAAUGCGAUCCAGAUGGUGCAGCUCACAUCCACCAUGGGGACUCAAACCCAGGUUCUAUCAGAAAGUGUGUCUCCUGUCACCGCUGAUGCUCGGACAGCCCAUCUGUCGCCUCCUUGCAUCUCGUGCUGGUGUCUGUUCCUGCUGCUUUGCUCACACUGCCUGCCUGGCCCCAGCUCAUCUCCCGCUCAGUUUUGGACCCAUGCAUCAGCUGCCCAGGAACUUGUCUGACUUGGACAGCCCUGCUUGGGUGCAUCUUGCAUGUGGUCGCCAGCCCUCCUUCCAAAAGAAGCAAGCUGCCCUGUCCUUGGUAGCCCUAUGGAGAAGCCCAUGUUGGAAGGAACGAUGUCAUCAACCAACAGCCAACAUCCAACUGAACAAGCUGGGGAACAGGUUUCCCCUCCAGCCACCCGCCCUGAAACCCUCAGCAGAUGCCUCUGGUGCAGCCUAGAGAGACACCCCAAGUAAGGGGCAUCCCCCUAAGUGGCUCCUGGAUUCCUGGCCUGCAAAAACUGUGAGGACAGUGCUAUCUAAAAAUUUUACCUAGAGGUUGCAAAGAUAUUCUUCCAUACUUGCAUCUCAAAUGUCUUUAAAAGAUGUGAAGAAAAGAAGGUGGAUGUCCUAGAGAGCCUAGAAGAGAAGGAAGAACGAGGGAUUGGGUGUCCUGGUUUCCCCUCUGGGUGAGGUCUGCAGGCCGGCCAGAAGCUGAUCUUCCAUUCUCUACACAGUGGAAGAAAAGCGUGCUCCAUCUUUUGUGCUGGGUGUCAACUCCCUUCCUGAAUCUGCCUGAUUUUGUUCAUAUUCUAGUCCUUUAGAAUCUGUUCCCAAGAAUGUGUCUGAAACUCAGGGAACAAAUGCCGGCUAUCCUGUGGGUUAUCCCAUCCAGGUCAAUUUGCAGGCUUCCUAGGAAUCCAAACGAUGAGGAAGAUGAAAUCUUAAUUAGCUGGUAAAUAUAUUCCCCACAGAUGCCCACAAAUCUGGUUCUCCAGAGCUGCCAUGUGUCCUUGACCUACUGGUCCAGUUGUCCCCAAACCUCUGCCUGUUCCCUGCUCUGCUUUAGCAGGCGGCUUCAGAAUUGCCCCACGAAAGAACAUCGAACUCAUCAUCUCCCUUCCACAUCCACAUUCUCAUCUCUCUCCUCCUCUGUUCUUCAUUUCUGUUCAUCCUUCAACCAACCAGUUCCAGGUCUCAGUGUCACCUUUGGCUUUCUCCUCUGCAUUGCUUUUCAUACUCAAUCAUCCACCCAGCCAUGACCGUUCUACCAUGAAAUCACACUGUAAGUUUUCUAUUCAUUUUCAUGUGUGCUGCCACAUUCUUGGAACAUAUUCUUGUUCUCUGGCCCCAGAUGCUAUGUUAGCCUCCUGACCUCUGUUCUUAUAAGAUUUCUGUUCUCCAGUCCCACCUACAUGGUGAGAAAAUUAAUUUUCUAUAUCACAUGUUCUAAAUUCUUUAAUGAUGUGUGUUUCCUUACAAUCAUCAAUCUUUUGGGCUCAAAUAACUUUUUUCUUGCACUCUUUUCCUAUAAACAACCCACCCAGUUUUGUUCCAUUCUAAGCAGGUCUUCCUUUGGCCUGUCCUUUUGUAAGAGCUCCUCCCCAC